rnacentral:sRNA from 1 species
CUGUUGGGGCGCGAUAAAGUGAAUAUGACUAUCAACGCCACCUGCUGUGAGGAUUUUACCUUCACCAGAGAUGAUUUCGGUAGCACCGCCAAUAGGAAUAUCGAUGGCAGGCUGGAUAUCAGGAUUGCCCGCUUUGCCAAUGGCACUGAUACGACCAUCUUUGAUACCGAUAUCCGCUUUAUAGAUGCCUGUAUAGUCAACGACCAAUGCAUUAGUAAUAACCGUAUCGGCAACUUCCGCGCCUAGUAAUUGUCCUUGACCCAUACCAUCACG